UACCUUAUUUUCGUAUCUGUAAAUUAACAAUUUCUACUCUAUUUAUUUACAUUUGUUUAAAGAAGUCUCCAAGCCAGCCAUUCCUAUUUUCAUUUUUUAUCAGAUAUCUAACCGCCCUAUUUUUCUCAUUUAGCCACUUUUAUGCUCAUCAUAUAUAUAUACAUCUUCUACUCCAUCUCUGCAAAUUUUACAAAGCAAAAACUAUACUUCGAGAUAACCAAGUUUUUCUCUCUAACUGCAGAUCAAUCAACAUGGUAUUAAUUUUCAAUCUAUGAAAUUUCUAUUUCAGUACAAUUUAUCAUUUCCUGUUUUUACAUCUCUACAACUACAAGUAUUUCUCUGAACAUUCUAUAUAUAUUCAGAAAAAUCACAAGCACACACCUAUUCACUAAUCAAACUCCCUUUCCGUAAAAUUUGACAACCACAGCAGCAAAACUUUGAUUUCAAAUCUUGAUUUUUUCCUUCCACAGCAGGAUUUCUUUCACACUUCAAAUCUUUGACGAAUACUCAAAUUCACAAAUUCGAUUUUUACUCCUCAACCACGAUAUUUCAAUCCAGUAUAUAUAUGUAUAUCUAAUCUUCUUCAUCGCAAAUACCCAACAAAAUCCAACAGGAAAAAGUCUUUUAUAAUUCAUCCUGUUUCCUUCCCACUGCCGAAUCUCCAUCGGUGCGGCGCGACUAGGAUGUGAACUUUAAAUUCUUGCAGUUAAUUUUCAAAGCUCAAAAGUUCAAGUUUCAGGUGUGGGAUUUAUUUCAGUACAUGCACGUGGUUAAUAUUUGUCCAUUUUAAUAUUAUGUGUUUACCGUAUGUGUUGUAAAAAUAUUUAUCGCUAGGGGCCAGCAUAAUUGGUCCAGGACUUCACCGUCCUUGGUAUGCCACAAAGCGAUUUCAUGUUACAGGGUUGCAACCAUUAUAUUGUCGCCAGGGGCCCACAUAUAGGGUCCGGGACAUUAAAGUCCUUGGAUUGCCACAGUGCGUAUGGAAGUUAUGUUACGUUAUGACAAUAUGUGUUACCAUUUUAUUAACAUGGACAAUUAUUGCAUGUUCCCACACUGAGUGUACCCUGUAUGCUCAUCCCAUAUUCAACAGUUUCAGGUGAUUGAUAUCGGAGGCGCGUGGAGAGUCGAAUGGGCGCGUCGAAUCUAUUUAAAGAUAAAUGUUUCCUAAAAUAUAUUAUGUUAUUUCAUGUGAUAUCUCUUGAUUAUGUAAACUCUGAAAUUCUAUACUAUUUGAGAUUUGUGUGUGAUUUAUUUAAAUAAAUGUUAUUAUAUUAUUUUAAUGUCAUGACUUGUUUAAUUUAUAUUUAAAUUCAUUUCAAAUAUUUAUUUAAGAAUUUAUAUCUUUACGAAAAUAUAUACAUGGAUACAUACAUAAUUUUUAAUCAUAUAAAGAUUUUAUUUUGUUAUAUUUUCCGCUGCUAAAAAGAUAUUAUUUUAUACUUAGAGUUUUUCCUUAGUAAAAGUUUUAUUAAUUAGUUAAUUAUUUUUCUGACAUCUUCAUGUCGUGCUUUGAAAAUAAAGUUGUUUAAAUUUAUGAAUUCAAAAUCAAGUUUUAUAUUUGAAUACAUUAUUGAAAAUUUUGAUAUCUUAUAAAUCGUUUUAAAAGUGCUUUAAAAACCAAUUUUAUUUAAAGAUUUCUUUUUCUUAAAAUUAUUUUCGAAAAUAUUUAUUUUAAAAGUGAGUUUAAAUUAUUUUAAAAGACUUCCGCAUUAAAUAUUUAUUUAAAUUUUAUAUUUAACUCCUUAAUUAGAUUAGGGUGUUACAACAUGGUAUCAGAGCAGGUCUACUUUUCUGUAGACUCUGCAAAAUAUUUUACAUAAAAUUCUUAAAUGUCAUGUGUGAGAAAAUCCAUUCGACCUCUACGUGCUCCGACUUCAAGGUAAAUGUAUUUUAAAAGUAUUUCAAAAUAUUUUUAUAGGGAUGAGUAUAAAUUGUUUACGUUGAAAGUAUGUUGAAAUUUGCUGCAAUAAUUGAAGUUAUUAUCAGAAAGUUCAAGUUCAUUAUGCAAGUUAUUAUGAGAAAGUUCAGUAUUCAAAUUAUAUGUUGAAGAUUAUUGCAGCUAUGAGUAAAGAUAUUUCAAAUAUUUUUCAAGAGGAUGAGUAUAAAUUGUUUACGUUGAAAGUAUUAUGAAAUUAGCUGCAAUAAUUGAAGUUGUUAUGAGAAAAUUCAAGUUCAGUAUUCAAGUUUUUAUGUUGAAGAUUAUUGCAGCUAUGAGUAAAGAUAUUUCAAAUAUUUUUCAAGAAGAUGAGUAUAAAUUAUUUACGUUGAAAGUAUAGUGAAUUUGCUGCAAUGAUUGAAGUUAUUAUGAGAAAAUGUUCAAGUUCAGUAUUCAAGUUAUUAUGUUGAAGAUUAUUGCAACUAUGAAUUGUCAAAUUUCGAGGACGAAAUUCUUUUAAGUGGGUAGGUUUGUCACAACCCAAAACCGUUUACUACCUUUGCAAAUUUUAUUUGAAAAUUUUUAUAUUUUCGAGAUAUUAAAAAUAUAAAUCUAUGAGUCGAGUUUGUGGAGAAUUAUCUAGUCGCGCCCCUAGCUAGAUGUAUGACUCUAAAUUCUAGGUUAUACCUAUAGAAAUAAAGUUUUAUAUUCCAAAAAUAUUUUUAUAUAAAUUUGGGCCUAAAUAAAUUUAUUUACUUAAAUAUAUUUAUCAUGGACAUUAUAUUAAUUUUGGAUUAAGAAUAAAAUAUUUUCAUAAAUUUUAUUAGUGUUGGACUUAUUAUUAUUAAUGGGCAAAAUUCUUUUGCAAUAAUCUUAAAACAAUUAUUCAAGUUUCAAUAUUUAUAGUUAAUUAAUGAUUUCAAGGAUUUGGAUACCUUAUUUUCGUAUCUGUAAAUUAACAAUUUCUACUCUAUUUAUUUACAUUUGUUUAAAGAAGUCUCCAAGCCAGCCAUUCCUAUUUUCAUUUUUUAUCAGAUAUCUAACCGCCCUAUUUUUCUCAUUUAGCCACUUUUAUGCUCAUCAUAUAUAUAUACAUCUUCUACUCCAUCUCUGCAAAUUUUACAAAGCAAAAACUAUACUUCGAGAUAACCAAGUUUUUCUCUCUAACUGCAGAUCAAUCAACAUGGUAUUAAUUUUCAAUCUAUGAAAUUUCUAUUUCAGUACAAUUUAUCAUUUCCUGUUUUUACAUCUCUACAACUACAAGUAUUUCUCUGAACAUUCUAUAUAUAUUCAGAAAAAUCACAAGCACACACCUAUUCACUAAUCAAACUCCCUUUCCGUAAAAUUUGACAACCACAGCAGCAAAACUUUGAUUUCAAAUCUUGAUUUUUUCCUUCCACAGCAGGAUUUCUUUCACACUUCAAAUCUUUGACGAAUACUCAAAUUCACAAAUUCGAUUUUUACUCCUCAACCACGAUAUUUCAAUCCAGUAUAUAUAUGUAUAUCUAAUCUUCUUCAUCGCAAAUACCCAACAAAAUCCAACAGGAAAAAGUCUUUUAUAAUUCAUCCUGUUUCCUUCCCACUGCCGAAUCUCCAUCGGUGCGGCGCGACUAGGAUGUGAACUUUAAAUUCUUGCAGUUAAUUUUCAAAGCUCAAAGUUCAAGUUUCAGGUGUGGGAUUUAUUUCAGUACAUGCACGUGGUUAAUAUUUGUCCAUUUUAAUAUUAUGUGUUUACCGUAUGUGUUGUAAAAAUAUUUAUCGCUAGGGGCCAGCAUAAUUGGUCCAGGACUUCACCGUCCUUGGUAUGCCACAAAGCGAUUUCAUGUUACAGGGUUGCAACCAUUAUAUUGUCGCCAGGGGCCCACAUAUAGGGUCCGGGACAUUAAAGUCCUUGGAUUGCCACAGUGCGUAUGGAAGUUAUGUUACGUUAUGACAAUAUGUGUUACCAUUUUAUUAACAUGGACAAUUAUUGCAUGUUCCCACACUGAGUGUACCCUGUAUGCUCAUCCCAUAUUCAACAGUUUCAGGUGAUUGAUAUCGGAGGCGCGUGGAGAGUCGAAUGGGCGCGUCGAAUCUAUUUAAAGAUAAAUGUUUCCUAAAAUAUAUUAUGUUAUUUCAUGUGAUAUCUCUUGAUUAUGUAAACUCUGAAAUUCUAUACUAUUUGAGAUUUGUGUGUGAUUUAUUUAAAUAAAUGUUAUUAUAUUAUUUUAAUGUCAUGACUUGUUUAAUUUAUAUUUAAAUUCAUUUCAAAUAUUUAUUUAAGAAUUUAUAUCUUUACGAAAAUAUAUACAUGGAUACAUACAUAAUUUUUAAUCAUAUAAAGAUUUUAUUUUGUUAUAUUUUCCGCUGCUAAAAAGAUAUUAUUUUAUACUUAGAGUUUUUCCUUAGUAAAAGUUUUAUUAAUUAGUUAAUUAUUUUUCUGACAUCUUCAUGUCGUGCUUUGAAAAUAAAGUUGUUUAAAUUUAUGAAUUCAAAAUCAAGUUUUAUAUUUGAAUACAUUAUUGAAAAUUUUGAUAUCUUAUAAAUCGUUUUAAAAGUGCUUUAAAAACCAAUUUUAUUUAAAGAUUUCUUUUUCUUAAAAUUAUUUUCGAAAAUAUUUAUUUUAAAAGUGAGUUUAAAUUAUUUUAAAAGACUUCCGCAUUAAAUAUUUAUUUAAAUUUUAUAUUUAACUCCUUAAUUAGAUUAGGGUGUUACAACAUGGUAUCAGAGCAGGUCUACUUUUCUGUAGACUCUGCAAAAUAUUUUACAUAAAAUUCUUAAAUGUCAUGUGUGAGAAAAUCCAUUCGACCUCUACGUGCUCCGACUUCAAGGUAAAUGUAUUUUAAAAGUAUUUCAAAAUAUUUUUAUAGGGAUGAGUAUAAAUUGUUUACGUUGAAAGUAUGUUGAAAUUUGCUGCAAUAAUUGAAGUUAUUAUCAGAAAGUUCAAGUUCAUUAUGCAAGUUAUUAUGAGAAAGUUCAGUAUUCAAAUUAUAUGUUGAAGAUUAUUGCAGCUAUGAGUAAAGAUAUUUCAAAUAUUUUUCAAGAGGAUGAGUAUAAAUUGUUUACGUUGAAAGUAUUAUGAAAUUAGCUGCAAUAAUUGAAGUUGUUAUGAGAAAAUUCAAGUUCAGUAUUCAAGUUUUUAUGUUGAAGAUUAUUGCAGCUAUGAGUAAAGAUAUUUCAAAUAUUUUUCAAGAAGAUGAGUAUAAAUUAUUUACGUUGAAAGUAUAGUGAAUUUGCUGCAAUGAUUGAAGUUAUUAUGAGAAAAUGUUCAAGUUCAGUAUUCAAGUUAUUAUGUUGAAGAUUAUUGCAACUAUGAAUUGUCAAAUUUCGAGGACGAAAUUCUUUUAAGUGGGUAGGUUUGUCACAACCCAAAACCGUUUACUACCUUUGCAAAUUUUAUUUGAAAAUUUUUAUAUUUUCGAGAUAUUAAAAAUAUAAAUCUAUGAGUCGAGUUUGUGGAGAAUUAUCUAGUCGCGCCCCUAGCUAGAUGUAUGACUCUAAAUUCUAGGUUAUACCUAUAGAAAUAAAGUUUUAUAUUCCAAAAAUAUUUUUAUAUAAAUUUGGGCCUAAAUAAAUUUAUUUACUUAAAUAUAUUUAUCAUGGACAUUAUAUUAAUUUUGGAUUAAGAAUAAAAUAUUUUCAUAAAUUUUAUUAGUGUUGGACUUAUUAUUAUUAAUGGGCAAAAUUCUUUUGCAAUAAUCUUAAAACAAUUAUUCAAGUUUCAAUAUUUAUAGUUAAUUAAUGAUUUCAAGGAUUUGGAUACCUUAUUUUCGUAUCUGUAAAUUAACAAUUUCUACUCUAUUUAUUUACAUUUGUUUAAAGAAGUCUCCAAGCCAGCCAUUCCUAUUUUCAUUUUUUAUCAGAUAUCUAACCGCCCUAUUUUUCUCAUUUAGCCACUUUUAUGCUCAUCAUAUAUAUAUACAUCUUCUACUCCAUCUCUGCAAAUUUUACAAAGCAAAAACUAUACUUCGAGAUAACCAAGUUUUUCUCUCUAACUGCAGAUCAAUCAACAUGGUAUUAAUUUUCAAUCUAUGAAAUUUCUAUUUCAGUACAAUUUAUCAUUUCCUGUUUUUACAUCUCUACAACUACAAGUAUUUCUCUGAACAUUCUAUAUAUAUUCAGAAAAAUCACAAGCACACACCUAUUCACUAAUCAAACUCCCUUUCCGUAAAAUUUGACAACCACAGCAGCAAAACUUUGAUUUCAAAUCUUGAUUUUUUCCUUCCACAGCAGGAUUUCUUUCACACUUCAAAUCUUUGACGAAUACUCAAAUUCACAAAUUCGAUUUUUACUCCUCAACCACGAUAUUUCAAUCCAGUAUAUAUAUGUAUAUCUAAUCUUCUUCAUCGCAAAUACCCAACAAAAUCCAACAGGAAAAAGUCUUUUAUAAUUCAUCCUGUUUCCUUCCCACUGCCGAAUCUCCAUCGGUGCGGCGCGACUAGGAUGUGAACUUUAAAUUCUUGCAGUUAAUUUUCAAAGCUCAAAAGUUCAAGUUUCAGGUGUGGGAUUUAUUUCAGUACAUGCACGUGGUUAAUAUUUGUCCAUUUUAAUAUUAUGUGUUUACCGUAUGUGUUGUAAAAAUAUUUAUCGCUAGGGGCCAGCAUAAUUGGUCCAGGACUUCACCGUCCUUGGUAUGCCACAAAGCGAUUUCAUGUUACAGGGUUGCAACCAUUAUAUUGUCGCCAGGGGCCCACAUAUAGGGUCCGGGACAUUAAAGUCCUUGGAUUGCCACAGUGCGUAUGGAAGUUAUGUUACGUUAUGACAAUAUGUGUUACCAUUUUAUUAACAUGGACAAUUAUUGCAUGUUCCCACACUGAGUGUACCCUGUAUGCUCAUCCCAUAUUCAACAGUUUCAGGUGAUUGAUAUCGGAGGCGCGUGGAGAGUCGAAUGGGCGCGUCGAAUCUAUUUAAAGAUAAAUGUUUCCUAAAAUAUAUUAUGUUAUUUCAUGUGAUAUCUCUUGAUUAUGUAAACUCUGAAAUUCUAUACUAUUUGAGAUUUGUGUGUGAUUUAUUUAAAUAAAUGUUAUUAUAUUAUUUUAAUGUCA